rnacentral:miRNA from 5 species
GGAAUGUUGUCUGGUUCAAGG